rnacentral:lncRNA from 1 species
AUAUUUUAUGAGAAUUAUUUUCCAAAAAAAUAAUUUAAUGAGAAUAAUAGCAUUAUUUUACAUCUUUUUGCAAAGCUUUUUAAUGUCAGGCUUAAUAGAUUACAGCUGGAUUCUCAUAUCUGUUUCUGCAUUCAUUCUGUUUGCUAUGUUGUUGUUUUUGAAGUAGACGAAGAAAAUUCCAGCCUCACACAGAUAUGUUGUUGGAAAAGGGAGGAAUAUUUUAAUAACCUUUUUAUGUAACUAUAGAUUUAUUCUUGGACACUGUACGAAAAUUGAACACAGGGUAAUUUUUAAAUGGUUAGUUGCAGUGCAGAAUCUAAAAGCCUAUCAGUGAAAUUUUGCACUGAGUUAUGUUAAAACCCGUUGGUCUGCCUUGCACUUUGGCUGAACAUUUUUCCCGUGGAUGAUUUUAUAACCUCCUGUGUUCAGCAUUUGGAAACUGUUGGUUCACUGAGUUAUGUAGAUCUUGCAAAUGUUAAUACAUUUCACCAUAUAAAAUAAAAAGGCUUGUGUAACAUGACCAGCAAUCUAUUUUAAAAAGCCUAGUAAGUAUUGAGAAGCUGUCAUAUAUAUGUGUAGAUGGCAGAUACGUGUUUUCCAAAAUUCUGAUUUUCACUUGAAAGCUUAAAUUUUAUCAUUGAGAACACAUACCAUUAGAUUUCCUUUAAGCGACCGUUCACUUUGUUCAUGUUUGAGAAAAUAUCUGCCAUAUACUCACAUCUGAAUAACCUGGUUUAUUCAUCUCACAACUCAAAACAAUCUCACAAUUGCUUUUCUUCAAGACAACCAUCAUAUUUUGGUAUCUCCAGAAGUACUUUGUGCACACUUUUCAUUUCUUCAUACAGAAUUUUAAAAAGACAUUUACUCAAGACUCAAGAUUUAAAAUAAAUUAUUUGUACUGCUUUAUCAGGGACAUUGAAUGAAAUUUUUUUCUGCAAGUACACGGCAAUAAAGACUACAACAACUACUCGUGCCUUUAUUCAUUCUAAUGUGCUGGUGCUUUUACCCACCGUUGCUUUUGCACCCUCAGUGAACAUGACACCACAAUGAAAGGUGUAGAGCUGAAAAUUGGAAGAAAGGAAGGAUAUCUUUGGGGAAAACUAGCUAUCUACUACAGUCCACCACUUUGGCUACCAAGUAUUCAUGCCUCGCCUUCUUCCCAAGAUGGAAGACACCCAUCCACAAGGACUGGCCUCAGGGUUCCAUGCCGUGUCUGCACUCAACUCUGGGAAUGUGUCAUUCUCUCUAUCAAGUCUUAAACUGGCUCCUUGGUGUCAGAUAACCUAUAAAUGAAAAAAGUAGGCCCCUACAUACCCAGUAUGCAAUAAUAAUUUCUAUUCAGAAAGUGAAACAAUGAGCAAGACAACUGUCACUAGUUGCUAGGAAUUAUUAAAUCCAUCAUCGCCAUCCCCAAGCUCAUCUAUUUGAAGGCAGUGGGAACCUGCUUAGGUGGGACUUCAAAGAGGAGUGAACACUUUAGAAGUGAGAUAACUUCUAAGGCUGCUUUUAGCUUGGGGGCAUUUGUUAAUUCUGGUUGCAGGCAGGAGGCUGAUAAUUUUGGUUUUAUAUUUUUUAAGCCUUGCUUCUAGAAGACAGAAACCAGGAGAGCUUUUGGUAGAGAUAUGGAGGAGCCUCGAAUGUGUAAUUUCCCCCCAGAAAAUUUGCAAAAGUGUGAAGUUGCUUAGGACAGAAGACAAAGUUAAGCAGAAAGCCUCAUGAAACAAAAAUUAAAAUUCAGGACCUGCCAGAAGAAGGGGAUCUGGGGAAUAUCUUAGGUUAUUAGAAAACUCUGAAGGCCAGGGGCAAAUCAAAGGGAGAAUGAGCCUUACACCAAGAUUUUCAACUCUGCCUUGAUUUAUCAUGAUUCCUGAUUGGAUUAAGUGACCACUCUUUAUUGUCCCACCAGAUGGAAGGUUGGCCUUCCUCUCUGUAGGAAGAUAUCACCAGAAGCCUGUAAAAUAUAUAACACUUGGAAAUUAAUGAAGAUUAAUGCCAAAAGAUAGGACCACAUAACCAAAAACUAAGAGGAAAAAAAGACAGAAGGAACCUAGAGAUAAUCCAGGUAAUGGAGUUAGCUGACAAGAACUCUAAAAUAACUGUCAUUUUUGUUUGAGGCAAAUUAUGGAGAAAAUAAUAAAAAG